GGUUUUGAGUCAUUCGUGAAAUUGUGGUGGCGGUGGUGGGCGCGAAGGGGGUUGGGUUUAGCCACGAGGGGAAACCUCUCUUAUAGCUUCCUCGUGUAAAUACAGAACUCUAAAUGCCGUCACAUUUCCCCAUGCACACAAGCCCUCUCUUCGGCAGCCGUCCAUUGCGUUUCCGUUUCUAUACAUUGACGUGUGUGUACGUUCUUAAUGCCUACUCAUUGUAUAUACAGCGUAUUCAAAGGCACAUGUAUACACAUUCAUUGAAGCACGCGCAUGGUUGUUACUAUAUGUGUUCAACGAUGAUAUAUUAACUUGUAUACGUGUGCUAUGUGUCUCUGUGAGCAUAUUUACAUCCUAUUGUACGGGUACAAUUGACAGAACACUGCGUUGAGCAUCAAACGCGACUGCCACGUGUUUUCACGUGUGAGGCUGGGCAGUUCUGGCUCACACCUCCUGCUGGGCAAGUGGAAGGCUCUUCUGCCUGUCAAAGACCCAGGGCUAAGGGGUUGCUCCUCUCAUCUCAUUGGCUGGCUCACACUGACUGGGAUGUCACCAGGACAUAACCGUGUUUAAUUAAUCAAAAGCAAACGUCUGUAGCCUCCCAACCACACCAGUGACAGCCCCUUCAGUCGGAGGCCAAUCUUGGAUUUAUAGCGUGCACAUGCAACACAUUCACCCGCGUUCGCUACCCAGGCAGUCCAAGCGAGUGAGGAGGGAUGGGGGUUGCACUGAAUGGAUUUUGCCACCCCCUUAAAAGCAGAGAAGUGGAAGAUUCUGGUCAUGUGACAGCAGAGUAGAUAAAAGGGGCAGACGGAAGAAACUGGAGCACUUGAAAUGUCUCAAGCCCGAGGUGGAGCGGCUUAUUGCAGGCGAACCAGCGAGGCUGCACUCGAUAUUUUGGGAUUUACUAUCCCAUGGACAUCUGAAGAGUCAUCCAGAACGGGAUUACACAAGUAAUGACAUCGUGCAAAGCACACCUUGGAAUAUUAGUGAAGGCAAAGGCUCACCGCUGCACUUGCCUCCACUCGAGAGAGCUCUCCAAAGAGCUCAGGAGGGUAUUUUGGCCCACUCGUCUUCGCUGGCCAAACAUCUUGGAAGAGGUCAAAAGUCAAGUCUGUGCCGGCAUGCCCAAACGAGUGUUGGGAGCCAUUCAUCUCCACUGGUGAUCAUGCUGCCAGUUGUGGAACUUCCACGUUCACAUGGCAGAGGCUAUAACGUCACGUCUAUUCUCUUGUUUGACCGCAAAUAAGGAAGAUGGACUGAGUUGGGCCUCAACUGGGAUUUCAUCUCGCAAUCUUACAGUGUCAUGAGUCAAGACCUCUUCACUACAGUGCCCCUCAGACACAUGCGUACACGUUGUGUGCAUGUGUAUGAAUAAGCGUACACUGCAAGCACUUCUUUUAAGUGUGCACACAUAUGAAAUCCAAGGCAGAUGAGACGGUGGUGACUCAACGGCAGCAUAUUGGUGCAGGCUGUGGCAUUAAUAUUGAUCAUACUUUAAUAAUAAUGCCGCUUUAAAGUGUUUAGUCAAGAUAAGCACUUUAGAUAGAACGUCUAAAUUUCUCAUAUGCCUCCAGUGUAAUUACUGUAUACAUUAUGAGCAUAACUGUCAGCAGGGUAUUAAUUUCACACAUGCCUAGGCAACAGCAGGAGACACUCCAAGCCUGCCAGUAAGCCAGGCAGUGAUGAUAAAUACACCAAUCCACUGGCCUUCCAACGGCAGGACCACAAACUAAAAUAGAGAAAUCUGGCACCCAAGAUAUUGAGAGAAAAUCUUUUUUGUUCGGGGGAUUUGACUGUACACAGAAAAUAAAUGUGUGAUUUUGGGAACAGGUUGGGGCACACCAUCAAUUUUUUAAAAUCUAAAAAGCGAGACGUUUUGACAGAAACAGUGAGGCCUUGGCCGUCAUCAGCCUGACAUUUCCCCACCGUUGUGAAAUGAGUAAUCAGGUGCAGAACCACUUCGGAGAGAGGGAUGAACGAGAUGGAUAACUCUGUGUGCCAUGCACCUCGAUGUGCAGUCCCACCCAGGGCUCCUCGGCAUUCUCGGAAACGAAAUGGUUGUGAUGAAAAAAUGUGCACCUGGAAACCCGCAAAUGCACACACAAAGGGGUGCACACGUUAGAUGUGCGCACUUGCACCCACAAGCACAUGUUUUUACACACGUGUGUUAAAUGUGCUGGUAUGAGGCAUGAUGCAAAAUUUUUUUACUCUAAAAAAUAAUUAUUUAAUCAGCACGAGACUAACAGAACAUCAGAGAAAUAUUAAAUACUCCCAAAUACAACUGUCAGCAGUAGCAGAACACGCGUGCCAACAAGGACACUCAAUUGAUUUUGAUAAUCUUGAAGUUCCGUACAAAACUAGCUACCACUGGCCAAGACUAAUUAGAAAAUCGAUCGAAAUUGAAAGAAUUUAGUUUGCAACCGUUCGGAUAGCUACCGAUUUCGUGCUGCGUGGAAGCGAAUCAUCAAAUAAUACAUUGUUUAAAUACAUGCCUACACAGGGUUUACCGUUGGUACGGCUAUUGUAAUACACAAUGGGCAGGAAGAACAAGAUCAAAGGACUCGUAUCAUGCACAUGCAUAAUGUACGUUGCCUCAGUAAUCCCCCACCCCCCACUUUGCGCAAAAGUGCAGAAGGGUGGUCACCACAUCUACGCCUCUAUAUA